UGGGAAACUCCAUCUGACAACGUGAGC
rnacentral:piRNA from 1 species